UACGAAGGGGGCUAGCGUUGCUCGGAAUCACUGGGCGUAAAGCGCACGUAGGCGGAUCUUUAAGUCAGGGGUGAAAUCCCAAGGCUCAACCUUGGAACUGCCUUUGAUACUGCGAAUCUUGAGUCCGAUAGAGGUGGGUGGAAUUCCUAGUGUAGAGGUGAAAUUCGUAGAUAUUAGGAAGAACACCGGUGGCGAAGGCGGCCCACUGGAUCGGUACUGACGCUGAGGUGCGAAAGCGUGGGGAGCAAACAGG
rnacentral:rRNA from 1 species